rnacentral:rRNA from 1 species
ACGGAGGGUGCAAGCGUUAUCCGGAUUCACUGGGUUUAAAGGGUGCGUAGGUGGGUAGGUAAGUCAGUGGUGAAAUCUCUGGGCUUAACCCGGAAACUGCCGUUGAUACUAUCUGUCUUGAAUAUAGUGGAGGUGAGCGGAAUAUGUCAUGUAGCGGUGAAAUACUUAGAUAUGACAUAGAACACCAAUUGCGAAGGCAGCUCGCUACGCAUAUAUUGACUCUGAGGCACGAAAGCGUGGGGAUCAAACAGGA